UCCUGGGUGGCUCAGUCGGUUGAGCACCUGACUUUGGCUCAGGUCAUGAUCUCACAGCUCAUGAGUUCAAGUCCCACAUCAGGCU
rnacentral:tRNA from 1 species